UUUUACCGGGGUUGGCUGCCCAGUAGUCAUAUGCUGUUCUCAAAGAUUAAGCCAUGCAUGUCUAAGUACAUGCCGUAUUAAGGCGAAACCGCGAAUGGCUCAUUAAAUCAGUUAUGGUUCCUUGGAUCGUACAUUACUACUUGGAUAACUGUGGCAAUUCUAGAGCUAAUACAUGCAGCAGAGCUCCGACCUUCGGGGACGAGCGCUUUUAUUAGACCAAAACCAAUCGGACCUCGUGUCCGUCCUUUGUGGUGACUCUGUAUAACUUUGGGCUGAUCGCACGGGCCCGUCCCGGCGACGUAUCCUUCAAGUGUCUGCCUUAUCAACUUUCGAUGGUAGGUUACGCGCCUACCAUGGUCGUAACGGGUAACGGGGAAUCAGGGUUCGAUUCCGGAGAGGGAGCCUGAGAAACGGCUACCACAUCCAAGGAAGGCAGCAGGCGCGCAAAUUACCCACUCCCAGAACGGGGAGGUAGUGACGAAAAAUAACAAUACGGGACUCUUUUGAGACCCCGUAAUUGGAAUGAGUACACUCUAAAUCCUUUAACGAGGAUCCAUUGGAGGGCAAGUCUGGUGCCAGCAGCCGCGGUAAUUCCAGCUCCAAUAGCGUAUAUUAAAGUUGUUGCGGUUAAAAAGCUCGUAGUUGGAUCUCAGUUCCAGACGGGUGGUCCGCCUACCGGUGGUUACUGCCUGUUCUGAACAGCCAGCCGGUUUCUCUUGAUGAUCUUCACCGGUUGUCUUGGGUGACCGGCAAGUUUACUUUGAAAAAAUUAGAGUGCUCAAAGCAGGCGUGACGCCUGAAUAAUGGUGCAUGGAAUAAUGGAAUAGGACCUCGGUUCUAUUUUGUUGGUUUUCGGAACACGAGGUAAUGAUUAAGAGGGACAGACGGGGGCAUUCGUAUUGCGACGCUAGAGGUGAAAUUCUUGGACCGUCGCAAGACGAACUACUGCGAGAUUUUGCCCAGAGA
rnacentral:rRNA from 1 species